GACGAACGCUGGCGGCGUGCUUAACACAUGCGAGUCGAACGGAAAGGCCCUGCUUUUGUGGGGUGCUCGAGUGGCGAACGGGUGAGUAACACGUGAGUAACCUGCCCUUGACUUUGGAAUAACUUCAGGAAACUGGGGCUAAUACCGGAUAGGAGCUCCUGCUGCAUGGUGGGGGUUGGAAAGUUUCGGCGGUUGGGGAUGGACUCGCGGCUUAUCAGCUUGUUGGUGGGGUAGUGGCUUACCAAGGCUUUGACGGGUAGCCGGCCUGAGAGGGUGACCGGCCACAUUGGGACUGAGAUACGGCCCAGACUGCUACGGGAGGCAGCAGUGGGGAAUAUUGCACAAUGGGCGGAAGCCUGAUGCAGCAACGCCGCGUGCGGGAUGACGGCCUUCGGGUUGUAAACCGCUUUCGCCUGUGACGAAGCGUGAGUGACGGUAAUGGGUAAAGAAGCACCGGCUAACUACGUG
rnacentral:rRNA from 1 species